rnacentral:rRNA from 1 species
AGCGAACGCUGGCGGCAGGCCUAACACAUGCAAGUCGAACGAACUCUUCGGAGUUAGUGGCGGACGGGUGAGUAACACGUGGGAACGUGCCUUUUGGUUCGGAAUAACUCAGGGAAACUUGUGCUAAUACCGAAUGUGCCCUUCGGGGGAAAGAUUUAUCGCCAUUAGAGCGGCCCGCGUCUGAUUAGCUAGUUGGUGAGGUAUCGGCUCACCAAGGCGACGAUCAGUAGCUGGUCUGAGAGGAUGACCAGCCACACUGGGACUGAGACACGGCCCAGACUCCUACGGGAGGCAGCAGUGGGGAAUCUUGCGCAAUGGGCGAAAGCAUGACGCAGCCAUGCCGCGUGAAUGAUGAAGGUCUUAGGAUUGUAAAAUUCUUUCACCGGGGACGAUAAUGACGGUACCCGGAGAAGAAGCCCCGGCUAACUUCGUG